rnacentral:misc_RNA from 1 species
GAUGAAGAACGCAGCGAAAUGCGAUAAGUAGUGUGAAUUGCAGAAUUCAGUGAAUCAUCGAAUCUUUGAACGCACAUUGCGCCCCUUGGUAUUCCAUGGGGCAUGCCUGUUCGAGCGUCAUUUGUACCUUCAAGCUCUGCUUGGUGUUGGGUGUUUGUCUCGCCUCUGCGUGUAGACUCGCCUCAAAACAAUUGGCAGCCGGCGUAUUGAUUUCGGAGCGCAGUACAUCUCGCGCUUUGCACUCAUAACGACGACGUCCAAAAGUACAUUUUUACACUCUUGACCUUGGAUCAGGUAGGGAUACCCGCUGAACUUAAGCAUAUCAAUAAGCGGAGGA